rnacentral:rRNA from 1 species
UACAGAGGGGGCAAGCGUUGUUCGGAAUUACUGGGCGUAAAGGGCGCGUAGGCGGCCUGUUAAGUCGAACGUGAAAUCCCCGGGCUCAACCCGGGAACUGCGUCCGAUACUGGCAGGCUUGAAUUCGGGAGAGGGAUGCGGAAUUCCAGGUGUAGCGGUGAAAUGCGUAGAUAUCUGGAGGAACACCGGUGGCGAAGGCGGCAUCCUGGACCAAUUCUGACACUGAGGAGCGAAAGCCAGGGGAGCAAACGGG